CCUACGGGCGGCUGCAGUGAGGAAUAUUGGUCAAUGGCCGAGAGGCUGAACCAGCCAAGUCGCGUGAAGGAUGAAUGUGCUAUGGGUUGUAAACUUCUUUUAUAUUGGAAUAAAAUCUUGCACGUGAGGGUGUCUGUAUGUACUAUAUGAAUAAGGAUCGGCUAACUCCGUGCCAGCAGCCGCGGUAAUACGGAGGGUCCGAGUGUUCUCCGGAUUUAUUGGGUUUAAAGGGAGCGUAUGUGGGUUGUUAAGUCAGGUGUGAAAGUAUGGGGCUCAACCGUAGAAUUGCCGUUGAAACGGGCAGUCUUGAGAACAGGAGAGGUGGGCGGAAUUCGUGGUGUAGCGGUGAAAUGCUUAGAUAUCACGAAGAACUCCGAGUGCGAAGGCAGCAUACUGGACGGCAACUGACGCUGAGGCUCGAAAGCGUGGGUAUCAAACAGGAUUAGAUACCCGGGUAGUC
rnacentral:rRNA from 1 species